rnacentral:piRNA from 1 species
AUGGCCCUAGUCACUGGGGAUAGC